UGGGCUCUCCGACCUCCCCCCAGGGGCUCUGGUGCUAGCCGUGGUGACCCCACUGAAAAACAGGUUCCCAGUGGUCUUCUCCAAGGGAACAUUCGCACAGUAGGUGUGCAGUCACCCGGGAGAUGUCAAUGUGCAGUGACGGGCACGCAGUAGGUGUGGGGUCACCCGGGAGAUGUCAAUGUGGAGUGACGGGCACGCAGUAGGUGUGGAGUCACCCGGGCGAUGUCGGUGUGCAGUGACGGGUACGCAGUAGGUGUGCAGUGACGGGUACGCAGUAGGUGUGCAGUGACAGGCAUGCAGUAGGUGUGGAGUCACCUGGGAGAUGUCAAUGUGGAGUGACGGGCACAUAGGAGGUGUGGAGUCACCCGGGAGAUGUCGGUGUGCAGUGACGGGCACACAGUAGGUGUGCAGUGACAGGCGCACAGUAGGUGUGCAAUUCCCGGGAGACGUGAACCAGCCUGGGCCCUGGUGGGAGCUGCAGGGGAGGGAUCCCAGGGACAGCCAGGUCCAGGCUGCCAAGAGCCUCUUCCUCCUGUGCCCACCUGUGACCCCU